GAGCAGCGAACGGGUGAGUAACGCGUGGGGAAUCUGCCUUUGAGCGGGGGACAACAUUUGGAAACGAAUGCUAAUACCGCAUAAAAACUUUAAACACAAGUUUUAAGUUUGAAAGAUGCAAUUGCAUCACUCAAAGAUGAUCCCGCGUUGUAUUAGCUAGUUGGUGAGGUAAAGGCUCACCAAGGCGAUGAUACAUAGCCGACCUGAGAGGGUGAUCGGCCACAUUGGGACUGAGACACGGCCCAAACUCCUACGGGAGGCAGCAGUAGGGAAUCUUCGGCAAUGGACGAAAGUCUGACCGAGCAACGCCGCGUGAGUGAAGAAGGUUUUCGGAUCGUAAAACUCUGUUGGUAGAGAAGAACGUUGGUGAGAGGGAAAGCUCAUCAAGUGACGGUAACUA
rnacentral:rRNA from 1 species